rnacentral:tRNA from 1 species
UCCCUCAUAGCUCAGUUGAUAGAGUCUGCCUGCAAUGCAGGAGACCCUGGUUCGAUUCCUGGGUUGGGAA